rnacentral:rRNA from 1 species
CCUACGGGAGGCAGCAGUGGGGAAUCUUAGACAAUGGGGGAAACCCUGAUCUAGCCAUGCCGCGUGAGCGAUGAAGGCCUUAGGGUUGUAAAGCUCUUUCAGUGGGGAAGAUAAUGACGGUACCCACAGAAGAAGCCCCGGCUAACUCCGUGCCAGCAGCCGCGGUAAU